CCCCUCUCCCUCUCUCUCACCCCCUCUCUGUCUCUAGGUAUUGCUGGUCUAUGGUCUAGCCUUCAUGGUCAUCUACCUGUUGUUGUGGGUACGUGGUGGUAUCGUCUAUACGUUACAGUGGAGACCAGAUACUGAUCAACACAACACAACUCUUCAUGCACUUUAUGUACAAGACGCCGAACAUGAACAUGAAACGGUUAUCCAGGUGUUGACGGCUGCAUUCGAGUUUGACCCCCGCAGCAACAAAGGGGCCACCAUACGACCCACGGACAACAUCCAAGUAC